rnacentral:sRNA from 1 species
UUUCCUCUUGCCUGUGCAUCGGCCACACUGUGUCCAGGGUUUCCAGGGAGCAGGGGAUCCAGUCCCUACCCACCUUGUCCCCAGAAUCGGAAGCACGGUGCUCUCACAGUGCUCUUACAAAGCACCUUUUGUCACUGUGUUGCCCUGCGUUAUGACAGCCUGACAUUUUCCUAUAAUUUAUCUGUGUUAUUUCAGCCAAACUGAAAUCGGUAAAGGAGGUUUUACACUUUUCUGGACCAGAUUUGAAGAGACUGACCAACCUCUCCAGCCCCGAGGUCUGGCACUUGCUGAGAACAGCCUCUUUACACCUGCGGGGAAGCAGCAUCCUUACAGGUAGGUGGGUCCUGGCAUCUCUGCCAGGGGUGACAUGUGGCUCCAGCAUCAUGGUCCCAGUGGUGCAGGGCGGGGGCUGUGCAGACUCCACCCAGGGACCAGCCUCAGGGCGUGUGGCAGCUGCUCCAGCCCCAGAGUUCCCACUUGCUUGUCCUACACCCAUGGGGCUGUGGUCACAGCAUCGGGUCAGAAGAUGCGUGAGGUGGACACAGAGGGGCUGUGGGGCCUCCUGGGACCUUGCUCCAUGGGCCAGAGGAGGGAGUGCAGGAAGCAGGGAUGGAUUUGGCAGUCAGCUCCCAGAGCCCUUCAGGCUCUGGCAGGGCGGGAACGGUGUGAGAUGGGGCCCUGGCUGCAGUCCCACCACCACGUGUGGGAAACCAGGUCUCGGCAGGGGAGGGAGGUACCCAGGGAACCCCAUGCGCCUGGACGGACAAGGUUUCCAUCCCUUCAUCUGAGCAGGCCCUACUGGGCAGUGGGGUCCUGGCAGGAGCAGGGUCCUCCCUCCGCUGCAGGUGGCCCGGGCCCCGAGGAACACGCUGAACUUGGGGCUGCCACGGUGGGCAGGUGCCACGGCCGCACACACGGUGCUGUGGGCAGGGCUCUGGGCAGACCUCACAGUCAGGGUGGCCUGCUCCACCUGGACGGAUGCCCAAGGCAGUGUGCAGACUCCAAGGGAGGGGCUGCUUCUCCUGGCCCAGGCCCCAGGCCCCAGGCCCCAGGCCAAGAGCGCAGCCUGCACCGUGUGUCCCACCUUGAGCCUCGCCCUGAGGGGCUUCAGUGUCGUGGAGGAGGCUGUGUCGAAUGGCUCAUCCAAGGCCCUCUAGCCAAGAGGCUGUGACCAGCAUUGCUCUAGAAUGGUAUCUGUCACAGAGAACUGACGGCAUGAGGUGUGCACGUGUGUGCGCAUGCGGGAGCCUGUUAAAGCCGCUUGAGAACUGUUCAGCACCCCAGGGCAUCCCAGCUGGACAGAGCUGUGCCUUUUUCUUCACAUGGAGGCUGUUAGGGAGCGCCUCGGGGCUCUCUGGAAGCUUUGGCUGAAGGCGUCUGGUGCUGCAGUUGCCCCAUAGGGGGAUCCCUGGGGGCAUGUGAUGGUGGCCCUGGGGCUCCCCCUGACUCUGCAUCUCAGGUGCACCCGCCCUUCCCAGCCAGGCCACCCCUCCCUGCCCUCAGCACCUUGUUCACCCCUUGUGACCGCAGGCACCUGUGCUCCAGCCACACUGCACCUGGCACAGGCAGGCUGGCCGUGCCUCCCGCAGUACCCAGCCCUGUCCGCAGGCCCAGGAGAGUCAGGCCUGACACCAUCCCUGCCCUUUAGCACUGCAGCUGCACCAGCAGAAGGAGAGGUUCCCCGCGCAGCACCAGCGCCUGAGCCUCGGCUGCCCGGUACUGGACGCGCUCCUCCGCGGUGGCCUGCCCCUGGAUGGCAUCACUGAGCUGGCCGGACGCAGCUCGGCAGGGAAGACCCAGCUGGCGCUGCAGCUCUGCCUGGCUGUGCAGUUCCCGCGGCAGCACGGAGGCCUGGAGGCUGGAGCCGUCUACAUCUGCACGGAAGACGCCUUCCCGCACAAGCGCCUGCAGCAGCUCAUGGCCCAGCAGCCGCGGCUGCGCACUGACGUUCCAGGAGAGCUGCUUCAGAAGCUCCGAUUUGGCAGCCAGAUCUUCAUCGAGCACGUGGCCGAUGUGGACACCUUGUUGGAGUGUGUGAAUAAGAAGGUCCCCGUACUGCUGUCUCGGGGCAUGGCUCGCCUGGUGGUCAUCGACUCGGUGGCAGCCCCAUUCCGCUGUGAAUUUGACAGCCAGGCCUCCGCCCCCAGGGCCAGGCGUCUGCAGUCCCUGGGGGCCGCGCUGCGUGAGCUGAGCAGUGCCUUCCAGAGCCCCGUGCUGUGCAUCAACCAGGUGACAGAGGCCGUGGAGGAGCAGGGCGCAGCACACGGGCCGCUGGGGUUCUGGGACGAGCGUGUUUCCCCAGCCCUUGGCAUAACCUGGGCUAACCAGCUCCUGGUGAGACUGCUGGCUGACCGGCUCCGCGAGGAAGAGGCGGCCCUCGGCUGCCCAGCCCGGACCCUGCGGGUGCUCUCUGCCCCCCACCUGGCCCCCUCCUCCUGUUCCUACACGAUCAGUGCAGAAGGGGUGCGAGGGACACCUGGGACCCAGUCCCACUGACGCGGUGGCAGCUGCACAACAGCCCUGCCUGAGAAGCCCCGACACAUGGGGCUCGAGCCUUUAAAACGCGUCUGCCUGGGCCGUGGCACAGCUGGGAGCCUGGUUGAGACACAGCUGGGAGCCUGGUUCAGACACAGCUCUUCCAGGGCAGCGGCUGCACUUUCUCAUCCGAACAUGGUGGUCACAGACUGACCCCCACCUGAGCUGGGGGGCUGUUCCGCCUCUCCCUGGGUCUGGGGACAGGCCCGCUUGCUGGGUACCUGGUCCCCACUGCUGAGCUGGUCCUUGGGGACAGGUGAUUCUCAGGGCUGGAGCCUGGGGUGUCCUACAGUGACUCCCUGGGAGCCGCCUGCUUCUUCUCCGCAUGGAAGCCCACCUGGGGUCGCGUCUGAGGCCUGCCCCCUGGGCUGGGGCCUCAGACCCUCAGCCUUGGGACCGUGCCCACGAGGGUCUCCCCUCCUGCACACAGGGCAGUCCUUACUCCCCCCACCACUCGGGCCACAGCGGGGCUGCAGGCAGGCGGCUCCUCCUCACCCACCUCUGGGUCCUUGGCUCCCGGGGUCCCCACCUCGGCACACACUGUGCCCCACAAAACUUCAGUGUGGUACAAGGUGGAGAAAGCAUAUCCCACCGACCUCCAGUGUCAGGGUCCAGGAGAGCCUGGGGUUGGGGGGGGCUGCCUUGUCUCUAGUAGUGUGGCCUGUGCCAGCACCACAGCCAUUCUGAGGAGCGCAGGCAGCGCAGGGCUGGCAGGUGACAGGCUCGUCAGCCACCUGGGAACACAGUUCUGGGCAAAGAGGAUCCGAGGUUGAGAGGAAGGAGGGUCCCGGUGUAUCCUGGCCCUGGGGGUCUGGGCGUCCAGCUCAGCCCUGGCCUGGCGGGGUGGCACUCUGGUAGGGAUAUGGCAGGACUCCUGGCAGGGCCACCUGCAGACCCAGUCCCACACUGUGGCCAGGCCUUACAUCUAGCCGGAAAGCAGAGCCUCCCGGGAACACAUCUGGCUGCAGAUGCUGAAAUAUCCACCCGGCAGGCAGAGCAGCGUGGCCUCCCCAUGGGCACAGUGGUGACCCCCUUGAUUCCCACCGUACAACCCCCUCCACCCCCCAACCCAGUUGCCUCCACGUGCUGCCUGGCACAGACCAGGCCUCUGACAAAUAAAUGUUCAAUGGAUGC